rfam:Stenotrophomonas maltophilia strain JCM 9942 contig_17, whole genome shotgun sequence.
CUUGGUGUGUGACCACCAAUAGCCUGAAGUGGCGUGCGUCUCUGGCAACGGAGGGGUGCGAAGCCCACUGAACAAGUCCCCCGCAAGGGGCGCAACAACCGCGAGGUUUUCGCGCAGAUUCCGGUAGCAGCAGACCGGAUGAGGGG